rfam:Triticum aestivum genome assembly, contig: Triticum_aestivum_CS42_TGACv1_scaffold_622880_7DS
AAUAUACUCCUUCCGUCCGAAAAUACUUGUCACAGAAAUGAAUGUAUCUAAAUGUAUUUUUGUUAUAGAUACAUUUAUUUUCAUUCAUUUCUACUGACAAGUAAUUUUUCGGAGAAAGGGAGUAUGUG